rnacentral:rRNA from 1 species
UCCUACGGGAGGCAGCAGUGAGGAAUAUUGGUCAAUGGACGCAAGUCUGAACCAGCCAUCCCGCGUGAAGGAUGACUGCCCUAUGGGUUGUAAACUUCUUUUAUAUGCAAAUAAACCUACUUUCGUGAAAGUAGCUGAAGGUAGCAUAUGAAUAAACACCGGCUAACUCCGUGCCAGCAGCCGCGGUAAUACGGAGGGUGUAAGCGUUAUCCGGAUUUAUUGGGUUUAAAGGGUACGUAGGCGGUAAUAUAAGUCAGUGGUGAAAUCCUGCAGCUCAACUGUAGAACUGCCAUUGAAACUGUAUUACUUGAGUAUACUUGAGGUAGGCGGAAUGAGUAGUGUAGCGGUGAAAUGCUUAGAUAUUACUCAGAACACCGAUUGCGAAGGCAGCUUACUAAGGUAUAACUGACGCUGAUGUACGAAAGCGUGGGGAGCGAACAGGAUUAGAUACCCUGGUAGUCCACGCCGUAAACGAUGAUUACUCGCUGUUGGCGAUACACAGUCAGUGGCUAAGCGAAAGUUUUAAGUAAUCCACCUGGGGAGUACGCUCGCAAGAGUGAAACUCAAAUGAAUUGACGG